rnacentral:lncRNA from 1 species
GACAAAUCAUUGUUGUAUUGUUGUUGUGCAUGAGAAGACGAAUCGAAUGAUGUAUCGUUUGUUGAUUUUGAGGAAAAAUGUUCAUGACCUGGAUUUUUGAUGAAGAACAGUUUGAAUGUAUGAAGAACACGUUUCCAGAUCGUGUUUGAUUCAUUUGGCCGUGCUGUUGCAUGUAUUUUCUGUUUGUUCGCCAUGUAGCCAAUUGCCAUGCGCCACCUCAUUAAAUGAAACUAUGCGUUUCAUGUAAGUGGCGCCAGUUUUGAAUAGAAACACGGUUCG